rnacentral:rRNA from 1 species
AUUGAACGCUGGCGGCAUGCCUUACACAUGCAAGUCGAACGGCAGCACGGGUGCUUGCACCUGGUGGCGAGUGGCGAACGGGUGAGUAAUACAUCGGAACGUACCUUAUCGUGGGGGAUAACGCAGCGAAAGAUGUGCUAAUACCGCAUACGCCCUGAGGGGGAAAGCGGGGGAUCGCAAGACCUCGCGCGAUUAGAGCGGCCGAUGCCUGAUUAGCUAGUGGGUGGGGUAAAAGCCCACCAAGGCGACGAUCAGUAGCUGGUCUGAGAGGACGAUCAGCCAAACUGGGACUGAGACACGGCCCAGACUCCUACGGGAGGCAGCAGUGGGGAAUUUUGGACAAUGGGGGCAACCCUGAUCCAGCAAUGCCGCGUGAGUGAAGAAGGCCUUCGGGUUGUAAAGCUCUUUUGUCAGGGAAGAAACACCGGCUCUAACACAGUCCGGGAAUGACGGUACCUGAAGAAUAAGCACCGGCUAACUACGUGCCAGCAGCCGCGGUAA